rnacentral:rRNA from 1 species
GAUGAACGCUAGCUACAGGCUUAACACAUGCAAGUCGAGGGGUAACGAGAGGAAAGCUUGCUUUCCUUGUCGACGACCGGCGCACGGGUGAGUAACGCGUAUCCAACCUGCCCCCAACUAGGGAAUAACCUUGCGAAAGUAAGACUAAUACCCUAUAAUUUCCUCAGAUGUCAUCUGACGAGGAAUAAAGAUUUAUCGGUUGUGGAUGGGGAUGCGUCUGAUUAGCUUGUUGGCGGGGUAACGGCCCACCAAGGCAACGAUCAGUAGGGGUUCUGAGAGAAGUAUCCCACACACUGGCACUGAGAUACGGGCCAGACUCCUACGGGAGGCAGCAGUAGGGAAUAUUGGGCAAUGGAGGCAACUCCGACCCAGCCAUGCCGCGUGCAGGAAGACGGUCCUCUGGAUUGUAAACUGCCUUUGAAUGGGAAGAAUGUGCUUCUUGCGAGGGGUAAUGACGGUACCAUUAGAAUAAGCCACGGCUAACUACGUGCCAGCCGCCGCCGUAA